AGAACGAACGCUGGCGGCAGGCUUAACACAUGCAAGUCGAACGGUUGUAGCAAUACAGCAGUGGCGCACGGGUGAGUAACGCGUGGGAACAUACCUUUCAGUUCGGAAUAACAGCGGGAAACUGCUGCUAAUACCGAAUAUUCUCUCCGGAGGAAAGAUUUAUCGCUGAAAGAUUGGCCCGCGUCAGAUUAGCUAGUUGGUGGGGUAAUGGCCUACCAAGGCUCCGAUCUGUAGCUGGUCUGAGAGGACGACCAGCCACACUGGAACUGAGACACGGUCCAGACUCCUACGGGAGGCAGCAGUGGGGAAUAUUGGACAAUGGGCGAAAGCCUGAUCCAGCCAUGCCGCGUGAAUGAUGAAGGCCUUAGGGUUGUAAGUUCUUUUGUCAGGGAGAUAAUGACGGUACCUGAAGAAUAAGCACCGGCUAACUUCGUGCCAGCAGCCGC
rnacentral:rRNA from 1 species